rnacentral:lncRNA from 1 species
UAUAUUUUAGCAUCAAAUUCAUGCAUGAAAAUUAAGCGUGCACUCUCAACCAACAUACACAAAUCAGUUUUUAUACGAACGGAUAAGUAAAUUGAAUUCACAACUUAUGAAACGCAAUUAGAAGUAAUCAAAUCAUAUUGCAAGCAUAAACAUGGUUUCGAAUUCCCCCUUAGCUAAAGGGGGGUUUAGUUCCUCAUACUUACAAAACAAAGAGUAUUGAAUUUAAACAUUGAAAACAAAGGAAAGAAAACACCUAAAACGUUCCAGCAAUCCUAACUUGAAUGGCAUGCACAUCCAAGGCUUAUCCUCCUUCCUCUUUGCUGCGGCACAAGGUUUUGGGGACAGGUUUGGAUGGUAUUUGUAUGGAGGAAUGGAUGGGAGAUGGUAUGGUGGUGUUGAGGAUGGAUGGGGGGUGUGGUAAAAGAGAGAAAGAUGGCUGAAAAUGUGUUUGUGAUGUAGUGUAUGAAUGUGUAGAUGGGUUUGGCUAAAAGAAUGGAUGGAUAAUGGGUGGUAUGGCUGAUUGUGUUUUUGAUGUAGUGUAGUGUGUAGUGUUCUUCCCUUCACUCCCUAUUUAUAGAAGCUCCAAACCAAAGAAUCACUCAAGUGGCUUCAAUAAACAAUACAAACAAAGACCAAAAUGAUGCAAAAACAGCUAGUUUACAUGUUCUUUUAUCAUUGUGUCUUGCCUUUAACAAAAGGCAAUCAUUCAUCUCUUGCUAAUUUAACUCCUUUGUAGCUGUCCAUGUGCCUUCAUUCUUAAAUUUCUGAUGCAAUUGCCUUGUAUUCCAUCCCUUUUCCACAUGUACUAGCUGUUAAACAACUUUCACACACAUGUUUUGCAUCAUUUCAUCUUGCAAACAUCAACUUUCGGCCACUUUACACCUCUACACACAUGCUAUGCAUCAUUUCAGCUUGCAAUUAUGUUUGUAGUUGCUGAAAAUGUGAAUACAACUUGUAAAGCAAUCCAACAAAUGACAUCUUUCACUUCUUUUCCUUUCAAAUUGUUCCUUAAGUGUAUGUAUGUGCACACUUCCACACUUCAACUUCAUUAUUCAGAUUUUUGCAUGUGUUGAAACCCUUUUUAAAACACCAAAAACGUCCAUCCCACUUGCUCCAUAUGCAUGCAAUCCAUUUUGGCCCAAAAUUGCUCCAAAUUGCACCAAAAUGCACUUUCUUUCCAACUUUGUUAUUAGGACCUACAAACACACGAAAAUCACUUAAAACACUCUUAUAAGCAAUAACUAACUAAGUAAAUGCAAGAAAACAUGUUAACUAGGUCGUAUAAAUAUGCUCUUAUCAAAGAUUGAUGUAAACACGAAAGAUUAGGACUCACAUAUGUUAUAACAAAGAAAGCAAUUUUCUGGAGUUAUUAAGCAUGUUUAGAUAUGAUCUCAUGAAUGGAAUGCUAUUACUUAGAUGCGAGAACCAGUGACACCAUAUGCUCAUACCAAUUUCGAGAACCAAUGGAAUGCUUUUCUCUACCCGUGCCUUAUUAAGGACUCUGGUACACACACACACACACAAGAAUCACUUCCCCCACACUUGCUUUCUGCAAUACAUUGAUCAAAAAGGAGUUCAUUUUAAGUCAUGCUUUACUAUGCUUCAAGAACAAGGGUAUGGAUGGUCCUAACACUAGGCUAGGUAAGGAUAGUGUGGGUUAACAAAGAACAUAGGCGUAACAAGGCUCAACAGGGUUAAACUUAAACACAUAAUGAAAUAGGGGCAUGGCAAUUUGGCUUUGGUGGUCACUACACAACUUCAUCUUGAAUAUGUGUUAUGCAAAUCAAUAGCAUGCUUU